rnacentral:rRNA from 1 species
UACGGAGGGGGCAAGCGUUGUUCGGAUUUACUGGGCGUAAAGGGCGCGUAGGCGGCCUGUUAAGUCGAACGUGAAAUCCCUGGGCUCAACCCAGGAACUGCGUCCGAUACUGGCAGGCUUGAAUCCGGGAGAGGGAUGUGGAAUUCCAGGUGUAGCGGUGAAAUGCGUAGAUAUCUGGAGGAACACCGGUGGCGAAGGCGGCAUCCUGGACCGGUAUUGACGCUGAGGCGCGAAAGCCAGGGGAGCAAACGGG